rnacentral:rRNA from 1 species
UUCAGGUCAAGGUGCAGCCAAUAAGGUGGCAGAGAUGAGCUACAUUUUCUAUAAUAUAGAAAUUAGUCACGGAGGGACCUGUGAAACCAGGACUGUAAAAGUAGGAUUUAGUAGUAAAUUAGGAGAAGAGUGCCUAAUUGAAAAGGGCCCCGAAAUAUGU